rnacentral:rRNA from 1 species
UCCGGGGGGUGCUAGCGUUAUUCGGAAUCAUUGGGCGUAAAGGGCGCGUAGGCGGUCUUUUAAGUCAGAUGUGAAAGCCCUCGGCUUAACCGAGGAAGUGCAUUUGAUACUAAGAGACUUGAGUAUGGGAGAGGGAAGCGGAAUUCCUGGUGUAGCGGUGAAAUGCGUAGAUAUCAGGAGGAACACCGGUGGCGAAGGCGGCUUCCUGGACCAAUACUGACGCUGAGGCGCGAAGGCGUGGGGAGAAAACAGG